CCCCAGGCUCCACCCUGGCAGGGCUUUGGGGCCUGGGGCAUCAGCUGAGCCCACUGGGCCCACAGCACCCUCAGGACCUCCCACCCCUUGGGAUCCACAAGGCAGCAUUCCAGGACUUCUCCUACACCGGGGGCUCCAUUCGCCUGAAGGCCAAGGACUGCAGAGCUCAUCAAUGGAACCUUUGAGUUCAACAGCCCAGGCUCACUGCCCCUUUGGCUGGUGCCACUUCUGGGUCAGUCUCCAGGGGCAAGGACAGGUUGGCAGUGUCCCCUCUCUGCCUAACUCCAGCCUGGGCACUUCUGGAGCAUCCCAUGUGCCUGGCUUAGCUCAGCAAGCUGACAUUUGAAAGCUCACAGCUAUCCUGUGAGGUGGGUGAUUCUCAUGUUCGUUUCAUGAAUGAGGAAGCCAAGGCCAGGACAGAAGUGACCUGCUCCAGGGCCACAGCUGGGCAGGGGUGGAGUUGGCAUUUGAACCCAGCUGUGUGCCUCUUGGGUGCUGCGCAGCCUCCUGUCAGUUCCUUCUGGCGCCUGGUCUGUGGGUGUUCCUUUGUCCAAGGCGCCUGCAGCCCUCACAGGGUCCACGGGGUGGGGAGAGAGCUCAGCGCCCCGCACCCACCAGCACCAUCUCCGACCCCUGGGCAGGCUUUGUGUUGGAGGCGGCAGCCAGGUCCUGCCAACGGAAGAUGCUGGGCCUUGCAAACAGCCUGCACUGUGGGUGACCCGGCCGGCCGGGCCCAAACUGGCUGCCAAGGAAAGGGAGCGGGAAAGGAAAACAGCUCUCGGCUCUCGGCUACGUCGCCUGUGUAACCGAAUCUGCUUUCAAAGCCCCUCACAACGCGGGCUCCGCAUUCGGCAUGGCAGGCGCUGGCCGCCAGAUCACCGAGGGCCGCUCAGGGGGUCUUCUGGGGACGAGCCCAGAGCGAGUUUGUUUUCGGGGAGAAGGUCAUCGCACUCAAGGUCUGCCCCGUGACUGCAGGAUUCUCAAACGUCCUGCCACGUGCUGGGAUACCCCCCACCCACCGCAGGCGUGCCCUCCGGAGGGCAGGGAGGGGAAACAGGUUUGCGCUGUUAGGGCCACAAGCCAAGGGGCCUGCAGGGCAUCUUAGUGAUGCUUUUGUGUCCCUGCAGUUGGCGACACCCAUUGUCACACCCCCUCCGCACCCUCAGAGUCUCCCAGAUGACAGACUUACCUGGGGAUGCAGACGGGGCUGGUGAUGACCUUGGCCCUGUGUUUAUGACGGGGCCUGCACCCAAUUCUCGCCUUCAGGUGCUGAUGCGGGGGCGAGGGGAGGUGUCAACUGGGCUGGGCUGGGCACGACUAGACUGUGGCCCCAUCUGGGAGCCCGGCCACCACCUCAGCAACGCCACCUCCUUAGGAUGUGGGAGUGGGAUUUACUCUGGAGACUCAGAGCCAGAGGGUGGCUGGAGGCUCGUAGCCUGGCCCAGGCAGCUGGGGGAGGGCUUUGCCUGGUGCCUGGAACCCCCCCACCCCCGCAUUCUAGCCUUUGCUUUCUCUUUUGCUCUCAUUUUUAAAAACGUCUCUCCACUCCUCCCUCCCUCCCUGCUCUGGCCUGCCUGCUCCUUCAUUCCUUCUCUGCUCCUAACCCCCUGAUAGAGGAGCCUGGGGAGUCCACAGCCUCCUGACUCCAUGUUCCUCUUUCUCCCCUGUCUUCCUGGAGAGGUCUGCCAGUGACAGGCUUGGAGCCCCAUCCAGGGGACCUGUCCUGGGCUGGGCUGUCCACAGAGGAGCAGCGUGGGGAGUUGGGAGCGCCCAGCCUGCCUGUGGGCUGCAUUGCCACUUCCUGCCCAGGAGCCCUGCACCCGUCUGUCCGCCUCUGAGCAGGACAGUGGGGUUUCCUGGCUGGGAGCAGAGUGUGUCACGUUCCAGUUAUGUCUGCCCGAUGCUCAGCUUUCGGUGAGUGUCAAAGCGUUAGCCCCACUCUGUGGGUGGAAGGGGACCCGAGAUGUGAAUCCAGGGGAGUUAAAAGGCUUCGGAAAGCAUCCAAAAGGAUGGAGAAAAAAAAGAAGGUUGAGGGGCUGGAACGGUGCGAGCUUUUUUUUUCAUCCUUUAACUUUUUCUGCAUUUCUGUAUUUUCCACCAUGAACAAAGUUCAUUGAUAAUAGAGACUCAAAUACUUAAUGGAUGAUUCAAAGAGAUAAUCCGAAAAGGGAAAUAACAUUUUUCUGGGAUCUGGCUGAAGCUUCUCUGGGGAUUACGCAAAAACCUGUCUGAGGGAGUGAGAACGCAGAGGGACCUUAGGCCCAGCCACCACUUCAAGCUCGGAGGAUUUGCAACAAAGACACACAUUUGCUGGGCCUGAGCAAAGAGAAAAAGCCACUCGCCUUCAGCAGCGAAGGAGAAGGGGCACUGAGAUCUUGGUUUGGCUUUCUGGGUGAGCACUGUCAUUCCAGAGGCGCAGCCGUGAGGUGCAGUCCUGUCUGGGAAUGGGGAUAACAAGGGCUGAGCUUGUGCAUGCACACCUGUGUGCAGCCACACACAUGCACCUGUGCACACACAUGCAUAUACACAUAUAUGCAUAUACUCAUAUAUGUGCACACACGCAGGCCCAUGCUCACAUGCAUGCACACCUGUGUGCCCCCCACACUUACAUGCACGCGUGCACAUGCACACCUACACACACUCCUAUGCACCCACCCAGUGCUCACGACACCCCUGGGUACACUUAUGUGUGUACAUCCAGAUGCACCUGCACACUCGCACACAUGCCUCUACAUGUACGCCCGCGGGCACGUGUGCUCGCAGAGGCCUGGAAGGUGACGGUUUCUCCAUAUGACGACGUCUGCCGUGCUCGGUGGGAGCAGCCGCACUGCUGCCUGUUUCCCUGCCCCAGUCCGGCCAUCACUCCUCACCCUAGUCAGGCUCAGGGUGGGGGAGGUGAGUACCCUGGAGUGGCCUGGUCACGUAGGUGGGCAACCAUCUGGGGCACCGACCUCCAAAUGGGCCACCAGGGCCCUUCCUGCAUCUGCUGAGUCUCUGACUCAGUGCCCAGUGAGGGUCCUGGGGCAGCAAAAGAAUGUUUAAUGCUCCGCAUGUCGGUGGGUCUGGCCUUAUGGAAACUCCUCCCUGGCAGGUGGAGUGGAGCAAAGGGCAGGCAUUCCCAUUGAUCAGGAGCUGGGGGCCAGGCCUACUGACACCUUGAUGCUGAGGGGGCCAGAGCAGCCCUGCGCGAUGUUCCACAGGCCCAGGGUCUUGGCAGGUGGAGGCAGACAGAGCUUGUGUUCCAGGGCACUUUGCAGGCAGCAGGACCCCCAGGUCCUCUGGAGAGGGUGGCUGGAGACCCGGCCUGGAGCUGCUGCCCCCACACUUCAGGAUACCUGCCUGCGUGCGUCGUCCAUUGUUUGGGGGCUGCACAGAGCACAGUUUUGAGCAGGGAGUUGGGUGUCACCUUGGAGUGGCUGUGAGAUGUGUGGGACCCUGGGGGGCCACCUGGGGUCAAGCCCAGCCCUGCCCCUUGGGCUCUGGGACCCUGGGGGAGCCACUUGCAUGCUCUGUGCCUCGGUCUGUGACCCUGGAGGAGGGUGGGGAUGUCUAGCUCUCGGGACGAUGGUUGCAUCUCAAGGGUGAGGGCCCCAGGCCUGCCAGGUUCUUUGAGCACAGUCCGAGGGUGGCCUCUCAGGGCUGCUCUGGUGGGUGGCCAGUCCCUGCUGGAAUGUGACUCUGUUCCUGGGAUCAGAACCUGCCCUGUUGUUUGUGGACGGGGUUACCUUUGCCAGGUCCUGCCAUUUCUGAGCCUCCGUUUCCCAAUCCGUGGUGGGGCUGACGUGAGGAAAUGAGAAAUGCACUCAGGGAGCACUGACUGGCACCGCAGGGCAGCGAGGAGGAGCCACCACGGUCACUCUUGGAAAAGUCCCCAGCCCUGCAACCGGGAGGGCAGUAAGAAAGUCCACGGCUUCUUGUCCUGGCCGCCCAAGCCCGGGAGAGGCAGCAGCCCCGGCCACACCCCUGCCAAGAGCCAGCUCAGGGGCCCGGGGCCGCUGAGAUCACUGGGCAGUUCCCAGGCUGGCUGGGCUGUCCCCUGUCAGGAGGGCAGGGCUGGCAGGUUUGUGGACGCCUUCUCAGGCUGACCCCCACAAUAGCUGCCCUGCUCCACCCCGAAUCUCCCCGUCCCAGGCUGCGCCUGCCUCCAAGUGCCUGACUGGAGAUGGCCAAGCCCAUUCCUCAUGUGCAAAGAAUUUCCCGAGCAGCCGCAGCCGCUGCAGCUGGAACUUGUCUCCAGAUGGGUCGUUCUGAGGGAAACCAGCGUCUCCUGUCUCCUCCUGCAGACACGGGCUGGCGUCCGAGCCCUGGAUCCCCUGCCCCGGCUUGGCUUCCUCUGGAGGGGAGAUAAGGGGCUCCUGGCAUCUUGUAGGCUGAAGAACUCGCCCAGCACGCUGACAGGGAGGCGCCAGAGGCAGCCGCUGACCUCCCUCAGCCCCUGCAGCCCCCUCCCCUCUUGCUGCAGACAGAAGCCCUCAGGGCCCAAGGUCCACCCACCCAGCCUGGGGGCCGUUCUGUAGCUGUGGCCCACUCCAGCCAACCCAGGACUGAGGGGCUCCAAAGCGUGCCCAGCGCAUAGGGAGGGCUUAUUCCUGGGGGCACCGUCUCCCAGUCAGAGCCAGCUGGAGCUGGGCACAGCCAGGGAAGAGCAAAUGUGUUCUCUCCUUGACUCCUUCUCCAAGUUUGUGAUGGCGUCUGCCAUGGGCCAGACAGGGGGACACGAGGGUGAAUGAGCUGAUGUGGCUGCCCUCUGGAGCCUUCCAGGGUGGGAUGGCAGGCAUGGAGAGGCACACAGGGAAACUGUGGAGUCUCGCUGAGGUAUAGACGAUGCAGAAAGGGCCAGGGAGUUCCCACAGUGACUGUCACGAGUUCCCUGGGCGGGGGCGGAGACCACCACCCAGCCCCCAGCACCUCCAGCACCGUGGGCGCCCUGGCUGGAGAUGCCUUCCUGUCUGAGGUCAGAGGCUGCAAACCUGUGGCUGUGGUUAUCCUACCAUGUUUUUAAAAAUUGGAACAAUUCAUGUAAAAGCCCAGAUUUAUUUUUCUUGAAAAAAAUUGACAGCCAAGUGUGACCACGGUGGGCUUGUUUCUACAAGUUAGGGGAUCCUCCCUCGGAACAGGCAGUGCCCUUGGUUGCCGUAGACGCCCCCGCUCCCUGUUGUCUCACCCAGUCCCUGCUGGGCCUCUUCGUGGCCCAUCCCCUGGUUCAGAUAUUUCAUUGAAAGACCCAACCCCCCACGGGGAGGCCAUCCUUCUCAGGAAGGUCACUUGGCCUGGACUCGGGACUGGACACUCAUUACCGGUCACCCUGUGACUUGAGCAGGACUUUGCCUUUCUGCGCCUUGGUUUCUCCAUUGUAAGAGGGGCUAACGCCUGUGUCAUGGGACUGUCCCGGGGCGCUCAGAAGCAGCGGGCUUGCUCAUGCUUAAGCACAGAGCUCACAGCUGGGGACGGCCUCUUUGCCACAGGUCCCGGUGUGCACCCAACUUCCGCUGCAGAGGGCAGCGUUGUGUGUGCCCACGUCUGCGCUAUGGACACAGCGUGUAAACUGCACAGCCUUUGACGGUGGCUGCUGUUGUUGGAACGCUGGCCUCUAAGUGUGCUCUCCAACGGCAUAUGGCCGAAGGACAGCCCCUCCUUUGGUGGGGGAAGUUCUCCACAGCUUUGGUGCUUGGGAGGUUUAGAGAUGGCUUAGGGAGCCACUGAGAUGGGAGGGGAUACAUGGGAUACAUUUAUCUCUAUCUUCUUGGGGACAGACCUCGGAGGUCCCUCCUUCACCCGUAUCGGCCUGGAUGAAUGGAAUCCGCGGAGCAGGUUUCUCAAAGCAAGCCUGGCGGGGCCCUCACAGGCAUUCCUGGAAGAGGGCUGCGGAGUUGAAACACAAGGAGGAAAUAAACAGAAAUAGGCUUAGGAAGGGUCUCUGCCCUCCGUCUUUGGCGGGCUCAGGAGCCCUGCCUGGGGCUGGGAGCGAGAGCUCAGAUAUUUACGUUCUCUGAGGCACUGACCGUGGCUCUGCGACGGUUUCUCGCAGAAAGGAGGUUUCUCCGGACGGACAUCCUUCAGCAGCGCUGGACUAAGCCACGGGACAGGUCUGACUGUGGCUCUGCGCUCCCCACCGUCCCAUCUGUUGCCCCUCCCCGCUGAGAGCUGGGGGAGGGAUGGGAUCUUUUCUCUGUGAACUGACUUCAGCUUGUGGAGUCCUGGGGUCUCAGAGCCUGGGGAGGGAGGAGUGGGGCUCUCCCUGCUCGGGUUCCUUUUCUGGGUGAGGCGGGGCCUGUUUACCAGGCAGACGGGGGCUCCCCAGCCUCCGCAGAUCUCCUGGUGUCUCCCCCAAGGCUGUUCACACUUUCCUUACUUGGGGACUGAUAAGUCACGCAGCUGGCAGCAUUUGCACCUGAUUCAAGGAGGGGAACAUUUUCCCUGGAGAUAAGCCUUGAAGUCAGGGCUAGUCCCCACCCUGGGACGAGGAGAGGACAGAAGGCUACAGAGGGCUGCACCGGGGAGGGUGGAUGGGGCGUUCACCCACCCCUGCUGCGGUAUUUUCCUUUGUUGGUUUUGCCCGAGGUCUGAUAAGCGCCCCGCUCCAGCCAGAGGCCUUAUCUGGCCGCAUAAUCCCCUGGCCUUGGCUGGAGAACACCAGGGCUUUGCCCAGUCUGCCCUCCCCACCCCCGCCUUGGCCCCUGCAGGCUGUUGGGGCUGGGGGUGGAGGGAGAGGGAGUGGCGUGAAUACCCCCUUCCUCUUGCUCUUUCUCUUCCAACAGGGCAAGGGGUGCCGGUGGUUGAAGAGGCCCCUCUGGGCAGGAACCUGUCACCUGGGGCACGGGUGAGUGGGAGCCAUCCUCCGCUGCCCACCUCCCAGCUGUGGCCCUGAGCUACACUGGCCCUGUGGCCACGGACCGGUUGACCAGGAAGCCCUGGGAAUCAGUAGGAAAUGAGUUUGAGACCGGGUCCUCCACACAGGCUUCUGGGCACAUAGACUCAGGCUCGGCAGGAGGCCCUCCUGGUACAAGUUCCAGCCCUUCCUUCAUUUUGUGUCUGGAGCAAGUCAGCACCCCAUGUGCCCAGAGUGCUCAUCCAAGGAGUGGGGUGAUGAGCCCAGCCUCGCAGGGAGGUGGGAGGUGGGAAGAGCUCACCCCGGUCUGGCUUGUUGUCCUCACAAUGAUGGCAUCAUUGUCAUCAUUAUCAUCAUCCUUGUCAACCACUUAGAGCUCAUGAAGACAGCACUCUCCAUCAUGCCCUGUUUUAUAGCUGAAGACCAAUGAAUUCAGGCUCCAUAAGGAAGAACCUAGAGGGUCCCCAGGUCAGCCUGCCCCAGCCUGGAGCUUAUCCACCAUGGAAGUGUGUCUGUUGGCCUUAAAGAGGAGAGGGCAUUUGGGCAGGGCUUUGAGGUAUGAGUAGGAGUUUGCUGAGUGAAAUGAGAAGAAACGGUUUUCAGGGCAGAGGGAACAGGUUAGGGGUAGUAAGAAGGGUCUUGAGGCCCAUAGAGAGUGACUGCUAUGAGUGAGUGGUUGGAACUGCGGUGACUGAAGAUGGGGAAGGACACCUGGGGGUCGGGGGUGCCCAAGGAGUUGGGGAUUUAUCUGGAAGAUGGUGGGUGCUAAGGCAAGAAGAAUUAAUUCCUUUUUCUUUUUGCAAAAGCAAAGCCCUUCAUAGGAUUUCCUUUUGGACUUUCUUUUUGAAAGAGUAAUGCACGCGGACAGUAACCAUUUAGAAAAUACAGUUUCUAAAAGAAAA